AUAUUUUUAAAUCAAAAACUUAUUGGGACAGUCCAAUGGACCCGGGGUGAUACAACUAUCCUUUCAUUCACCACUAUAUAUACGCAUAUAUGUGCAAAAGUUUAUGCACUUAGAAUCUCACAGCAAAUGGCUUUUAAUCAGUCUUUCUUCCUUGUUCUUGGGCUCCUUGCAUCUAGUGUGGUGAUAGGAAAAGUUGAAGCUGCAGAAGCUACAGAAACCACCAAUGCCGUCAAAACUGCAUCAAGAAAAAUGCUGCCAGUUGGAGGACAGAUUAUAAAAAUGCUUGGCGUUGGAGUUCAUGAUGGUCAGGAACCCCGCUGUGUACGCGCGGGGGAAUCCUGCACAUACAAACCAUGUUGUCCUGGCUGUUUCUGUUAAAACUCCUUGCAGUUUAGAAUUUUUUUGCAUAUGUCCGUGUAUUUUGUCUAAUAAAAUGGUUAAAUGCAAAAUGCCUUCAUGAACUAUAUAUUCGGUUACAAUUUCCCCCCUAAA